rnacentral:rRNA from 1 species
GAUGAACGCUGGCGGCGUGCUUAACACAUGCAAGUCGAACGGGAAUUAUUUUAUUGAAACUUCGGUCGAUUUAAUUUAAUUCUAGUGGCGGACGGGUGAGUAACGCGUGGGUAACCUGCCUUAUACAGGGGGAUAACAGUCAGAAAUGGCUGCUAAUACCGCAUAAGCGCACAGAGCCGCAUGGCUCAGUGUGAAAAACUCCGGUGGUAUAAGAUGGACCCGCGUUGGAUUAGCUGGUUGGUGGGGUAACGGCCCACCAAGGCGACGAUCCAUAGCCGGCCUGAGAGGGUGAACGGCCACAUUGGGACUGAGACACGGCCCAGACUCCUACGGGAGGCAGCAGUGGGGAAUAUUGCACAAUGGGGGAAACCCUGAUGCAGCGACGCCGCGUGAAGGAAGAAGUAUCUCGGUAUGUAAACUUCUAUCAGCAGGGAAGAUAGUGACGGUACCUGACUAAGAAGCCCCGGCUAACUACGUG